UACGGAGGGUGCGAGCGUUGUCCGGAAUCACUGGGCGUAAAGGGCGCGUAGGCGGCAUGCCAAGCGUGUGGUGAAAGCCCGGGGCUCAACCCCGGGUCGGCCGUGCGGACUGGCGUGCUCGAGCACUGUAGGGGCGGGUGGAAUUCCGGGUGUAGCGGUGGAAUGCGUAGAGAUGUGGAGGAACACCAGUGGCGAAGGCGACUUCCUGGCCUGUUCUUGACGCUGAGGCGCGAAAGCUAGGGGAGCAAACGGG
rnacentral:rRNA from 1 species